GAUGAACGCUAGCUACAGGCUUAACACAUGCAAGUCGAGGGGAAACGAUGAGAGAGCUUGCUCUCUUAGGCGUCGACCGGCGCACGGGUGAGUAACGCGUAUCCAACCUACCCAUUACAGGGGGAUAACCUUGCGAAAGUAAGACUAAUACCCCAUGGCAUUUUAUGGUGGCAUCAUUAUAGGAUUAAAGAUUUAUUGGUAAUGGAUGGGGAUGCGUCUGAUUAGCUUGUUGGCGGGGUAACGGCCCACCAAGGCAACGAUCAGUAGGGGUUCUGAGAGGAAGGUCCCCCACAUUGGAACUGAGACACGGUCCAAACUCCUACGGGAGGCAGCGGUGAGGAAUAUUGGUCAAUGGGCGAGAGCUUGAACCAGCCAAGUAGCGUGCAGGAUGACGGCCCUAUGGGUUGUAAACUGCUUUUAUAGGGGAAUAAAGUGAGCUACGUGUAGUUUAUUGCAUGUACCCUAUGAAUAAGGACCGGCUAAUUCCGUG
rnacentral:rRNA from 1 species